GACGGGUGAGUAACGCAUAGGAAUCUACCCAGUCGUGGGGGAUAACCUGAGGAAACUCAGGCUAAUACCGCAUACGUCCUACGGGAGAAAGCGGGGGCUCUUCGGACCUCGCGCGAUUGGAUGAGCCUAUGUCGGAUUAGCUAGUUGGUAAGGUAACGGCUUACCAAGGCAACGAUCCGUAGCUGGUCUGAGAGGAUGAUCAGCCACACCGGGACUGAGACACGGCCCGGACUCCUACGGGAGGCAGCAGUGGGGAAUAUUGGACAAUGGGCGAAAGCCUGAUCCAGCCAUGCCGCGUGUGUGAAGAAGGCUUUCGGGUUGUAAAGCACUUUCAGCGAGGAAGAAAGCGUGCCGUUUAAUACACGGUACGGACGACAUCACUCGCAGAAGAAGCACCGGCUAACUCCGUGCCAGCAGCCGCGGUAAUACGGAGGGUGCAAGCGUUAAUCGGAAUUACUGGGCGUAAAGCGCGCGUAGGCGGCGUGUCACGCCGGGUGUGAAAGCCCCGGGCUCAACCUGGGAACGGCAUCCGGAACGGGCAGGCUAGAGUGCAGGAGAGGAAGGUAGAAUUCCCGGUGUAGCGGUGAAAUGCGUAGAGAUCGGGAGGAAUACCAGUGGCGAAGGCGGCCUUCUGGACUGACACUGACGCUGAGGUGCGAAAGCGUGGGUAGCAAACAGGAUUAGAUACCCUGGUAGUCCACGCCGUAAACGAUGUCGACUAGCCGUUGGGUCCCUUGAGGACUUAGUGGCGCAGUUAACGCGAUAAGUCGACCGCCUGGGGAGUACGGCCGCAAGGUUAAAACUCAAAUGAAUUGACGGGGGCCCGCACAAGCGGUGGAGCAUGUGGUUUAAUUCGAUGCAACGCGAAGAACCUUACCUACCCUUGACAUCCUGCGAACCCGGAAGAGAUUCCGGGGUGCCUUCGGGAGCGCAGAGACAGGUGCUGCAUGGCUGUCGUCAGCU
rnacentral:rRNA from 1 species